AAAUUGAAGAGUUUGAUCAUGGCUCAGAUUGAACGCUGGCGGCAGGCCUAACACAUGCAAGUCGAGCGGAAACGAGUUAUCUGAACCUUCGGGGGACGAUAACGGCGUCGAGCGGCGGACGGGUGAGUAAUGCCUAGGAAAUUGCCCUGAUGUGGGGGAUAACCAUUGGAAACGAUGGCUAAUACCGCAUGAUGCCUACGGGCCAAAGAGGGGGACCUUCGGGCCUCUCGCGUCAGGAUAUGCCUAGGUGGGAUUAGCUAGUUGGUGAGGUAAGGGCUCACCAAGGCGACGAUCCCUAGCUGGUCUGAGAGGAUGAUCAGCCACACUGGAACUGAGACACGGUCCAGACUCCUACGGGAGGCAGCAGUGGGGAAUAUUGCACAAUGGGCGCAAGCCUGAUGCAGCCAUGCCGCGUGUGUGAAGAAGGCCUUCGGGUUGUAAAGCACUUUCAGUCGUGAGGAAGGUAGCGUAGUUAAUAGCUGCAUUAUUUGACGUUAGCGACAGAAGAAGCACCGGCUAACUCCGUGCCAGCAGCCGCGGUAAUACGGAGGGUGCGAGCGUUAAUCGGAAUUACUGGGCGUAAAGCGCAUGCAGGUGGUUUGUUAAGUCAGAUGUGAAAGCCCGGGGCUCAACCUCGGAAUAGCAUUUGAAACUGGCAGACUAGAGUACUGUAGAGGGGGGUAGAAUUUCAGGUGUAGCGGUGAAAUGCGUAGAGAUCUGAAGGAAUACCGGUGGCGAAGGCGGCCCCCUGGACAGAUACUGACACUCAGAUGCGAAAGCGUGGGGAGCAAACAGGAUUAGAUACCCUGGUAGUCCACGCCGUAAACGAUGUCUACUUGGAGGUUGUGGCCUUGAGCCGUGGCUUUCGGAGCUAACGCGUUAAGUAGACCGCCUGGGGAGUACGGUCGCAAGAUUAAAACUCAAAUGAAUUGACGGGGGCCCGCACAAGCGGUGGAGCAUGUGGUUUAAUUCGAUGCAACGCGAAGAACCUUACCUACUCUUGACAUCCAGAGAACUUUCCAGAGAUGGAUUGGUGCCUUCGGGAACUCUGAGACAGGUGCUGCAUGGCUGUCGUCAGCUCGUGUUGUGAAAUGUUGGGUUAAGUCCCGCAACGAGCGCAACCCUUAUCCUUGUUUGCCAGCGAGUAAUGUCGGGAACUCCAGGGAGACUGCCGGUGAUAAACCGGAGGAAGGUGGGGACGACGUCAAGUCAUCAUGGCCCUUACGAGUAGGGCUACACACGUGCUACAAUGGCGCAUACAGAGGGCGGCCAACUUGCGAAAGUGAGCGAAUCCCAAAAAGUGCGUCGUAGUCCGGAUUGGAGUCUGCAACUCGACUCCAUGAAGUCGGAAUCGCUAGUAAUCGUGGAUCAGAAUGCCACGGUGAAUACGUUCCCGGGCCUUGUACACACCGCCCGUCACACCAUGGGAGUGGGCUGCAAAAGAAGUAGGUAGUUUAACCUUCGGGGGGACGCUUACCACUUUGUGGUUCAUGACUGGGGUGAAGUCGUAACAAGGUAGCGCUAGGGGAACCUGGCGCUGGAUCACCUCCUUA
rnacentral:rRNA from 1 species